UACGUAGGGUGCGAGCGUUGUCCGGAAUUAUUGGGCGUAAAGGGCUCGUAGGCGGUCUGUCACGUCGGGAGUGAAAACUCAGGGCUUAACCCUGAGCCUGCUUCCGAUACGGGCAGACUAGAGGUAUGCAGGGGAGAACGGAAUUCCUGGUGUAGCGGUGAAAUGCGCAGAUAUCAGGAGGAACACCGGUGGCGAAGGCGGUUCUCUGGGCAUUACCUGACGCUGAGGAGCGAAAGUGUGGGGAGCGGACAGG
rnacentral:rRNA from 1 species